GAUGAACGCUAGCGGGAGGCUUAACACAUGCAAGUCGAGGGGCAUCACGAGGUAGCAAUACUUUGGUGGUGACCGGCGCACGGGUGAGUAACGCGUAUGCAACCUACGCUGUACAGGGGGAUAGCCCGGAGAAAUUCGGAUUAAUACCCCAUAAUGAUAUUUUAUGGCAUCAUAAAAUAUUUAAAGCUCAGGCGGUACGGGAUGGGAAUGCGUAACAUGAGCUAGUUGGUAGGGUAAUGGCCUACCAAGGCGACGAUGUUUAGGGGUCCUGGGAGGGUGAUCCCCCACACUGGUACUGAGACACGGACCAGACUCCUACGGGAGGCAGCAGUGAGGAAUAUUGGUCAAUGGGCGCGAGCCUGAACCAGCCAUCCCGCGUGAAGGAAGACUGCCCUAUGGGUUGUAAACUUCUUUUCCAGGGGAAUAAAAUCUCGAACGAGUUCGGGACUGAAGGUACCCUGGGAAUAAGCAUCGGCUAACUCCGUGCCAGCCGCCGCAGUAAUAC
rnacentral:rRNA from 1 species